rnacentral:lncRNA from 1 species
GGCGGCAGCGGAGGGCAGCCUCGUCGCUUGGGUCGCGCCGCUGCUCGCCAGCGAGUGCCCGACGAGCUACUCGAUCCGAGGUUCCGGCAUGGAGAGGUGACCGGGAAGGAGGUGAAGCAGGCCGUGGCCGCCAUAUGCAUGUGCUUGCAGGGAUGAUCUAACGUAACUGGUCCCUGCUCUCCUCGAUGGUGGUCAUCUGGGGCAGCGUCGGCAC